rnacentral:rRNA from 1 species
AUUGAACGCUGGCGGCAGGCCUAACACAUGCAAGUCGAACGGUAACAGGAAGCAUCUUGCUGCUUUGCUGACGAGUGGCGGACGGGUGAGUAAUGUCUGGGAAACUGCCCGAUGGAGGGGGAUAACUACUGGAAACGGUAGCUAAUACCGCAUAACGUCGCAAGACCAAAGAGGGGGACCUUAGGGCCUCUUGCCAUCGGAUGUGCCCAGAUGGGAUUAGCUAGUAGGUGGGGUAACGGCUCACCUAGGCGACGAUCCCUAGCUGGUCUGAGAGGAUGACCAGCCACACUGGAACUGAGACACGGUCCAGACUCCUACGGGAGGCAGCAGUGGGGAAUAUUGCACAAUGGGCGCAAGCCUGAUGCAGCCAUGCCGCGUGUAUGAAGAAGGCCUUCGGGUUGUAAAGUACUUUCAGCGGGGAGGAAGGGAGUAAAGUUAAUACCUUGGCUCAUUGACGUUACCCGCAGAAGAAGCACCGGCUAACUCCGCG